rnacentral:rRNA from 1 species
AGCCCUAAGUGGGUGGUAAACUCCAUCUAAGGCUAAAUAUGACCACGAGACCGAUAGCGAACAAGUACCGUGAGGGAAAGUUGAAAAGCACUUUGAAGAGAGAGUUCAAGAGUACGUGAAACCGUUUAGGGGUAAACCUGAGAAACCCGAAAGGUCGAAGGAAGAAAUUCAUUCGCGUUUCGCCGCGGGCGUCGAGCGGGAUCGUGUGACGGGGAGCGUUCGCGCGUUUCCCGCGCCUCCCGUUCUUCGAACCGGUGACGAACGCGUGCACUUUUCUUCUGGUAGGACGUCGCGAUCCGUUGGGUGUCGGUCUACGGCACGCGGUGGAGCCCGUUCGUCGUAUUUCUAGUACGUACGGAUGGACCCGCGUGUUCCGGCCGACUCGCUCGACGGUAUACGAAAGGUUUAAGGCCGCUCUCGGAGCGUUCGGCUCGUGGCAAGCGCGCCAGAUGCGUCGGCGAUCGGACCUAGUGCCGUUUCUGACCUCUGGUGACUGUUGGCCGCGAAGUUCUCGAACAGACCUUAAGACCGAUCAGCGACGCUAUAGCUUUGGGUACUUUCAG